UAUAGACAUGAAUGUGUAAUGGUUAACUUUAUUAUAUUUCUGUUACUAAACGCUUUAAAAUUUGAAAUCAAGUGCAUAUAGGGGUUGUGGGGGUAAAGUGGACAACCUAAGCAUUUUGGUCGUUUCCAGUGGAAAUGCGACGAAAUCCAUCUGCUUUUCCGAUUAACAUGGAAGAUAUUGAUAUACCUACUCUAGAAAUCUUCUAAGGGAUAACAUUUUAAAAAUAUUGUUUUCUUUGAUUAUUUUUUUCACCAAAACGAGCAUCAAAAUAUCGUGAAAAAAAAAACGGUGGGGUAAAAUGGACAAUCGAUGGGGUAAAAUGAACAAGUCGUUAAAUGUUAUAUAACAGCAUAUUGUUUCUAUGCUUUCAUUUACUAUCAAAUUUCAUACGAAACCUUUAUUUUGUUGUUUCCAAACUUUUAAUACAAAAUUUGAAAUACACUUAAAUAAUUAUUGCAAAAACAGUGUAAAAACUAGCACUGUUUUGGAUGAAAAUUUUAUUUUGUUGAUUGUUGGGCUGCAAAACGGUGAGUCGAUAAGGAGAGCGUCCAACAUAGCUCUGGUCCUCACAAGUUCCUACCUCAUGCUUCCACGGGUCAAGCGAUGACAAAGACCGCCAGCUAAGAGUUGUGUGCCUAGCUGGUAGUGCAGCCUGGGCACUGUUGUCCUUCUGACUUCAGCUAGAUUGAGGAGGUACGAUCCGAGCGUCUGUUCACCAAGGAGGUGCGGCUCAAACAGCGUCUGUUCUGGUAUCCAGCGGCUGAGUAAGAAACGCUGCACCACGCCCAGCUAGAUCCAAGGUGGUAGCCCCAUCAGCGCGGUCGUCCCAGUGUUGGUUGGGACGUUAAACAGAACUGGCACGAUGGCCCUCCGGCGAGACAGGAGUGUUGGCGUAGGCCCAAUAAGCCACCCGUAAAAUCCUCAUUGCGAAUAACAUAGGAGAAAAUACGACUCGAUACAAUCGGCAAAGACCCACGCGACGAAAUAAGGACUACGUUUGGAAACUUGGAACAUGGAAUUGCAAGUCACUAGGUUUCGCAGGAUGUGACAGGAUAAUUUACGACGAACUACAUCCCCGCAACUUCGACAUCGUGGCGUUGCAGGAACUGUGUUGGACUGGACAGAAAGUGUGGAAAAGCGGACAUCGAGCGGCUACCUUCUACCAAAGCUGUGGCACCACCAAUGAACUGGGAACAGGAUUUAUAGUGUUGGGCAAGAUGCGACAACGUGUGAUCGGGUGGCAGCCGAUCAACGCAAGGAUGUGCAUAUUAAGAGUUAAGGGCCGUUUCUUCAACUACAGCAUCAUUAAUGUCUACUGCCCACACGAAGGGAGACCUGAUGACGAGAAAAAAGCGUUCUACGCGCAGUUAGAGCAAACAUACGAUGAUUGCUCGCCGCGUGACGUGAAAAUCGUCGGCGACAUGAACGCGCAGGUAGAAAGGGAGGAAAUGUACAGACCGGUAAUCGGGCGAAACAACCUGCACGCCGUAUCGAAUGAUAACGGCCAGCGAUGCGUAAACUUUGCAGCAUCCUGUGGCAUGAUAGUCCGAAGCAUCUUCUUCCCCCGCAAAGAUAUCCACAAAGCCACCUGGAGAUCACCCGACCAUCAAACAGAAAACCAAAUCGACCACGUUCUAAUCGACGGUAAAUUCUUCUCGGACAUAACCAAUGUCCGUACAUACCGCAGUGCGAAUAUAGAUUCGGAUCACUACUUAGUCGCUGUAUGCAUGCGCUCAAAACUUUCGACAGUUAUCACCACGCGUCGAAGUCGAACGCCGCGGCUCAACAUCGAGCAGCUGCGUAACGUAGAAGUGGCGCAAGACUACGCGCAGCAGUUUAACUAGACUGACUCUACAGAGAAAAUAGGUAGAGAAGCGAAGAGUGAACAGCCGUCUGAACGGCAACACUUUUUCUGUUUUGAUUUCGUAACUCGGAUGUUGGCAACUGUCGAAAAACAGAUUAAUCCACCUAUCGAGGGUAGUGUCUUUCUCGUGUACUGCAAUAGAAAAUGAUUUAUGCUGUUGAGUAAUUAACAAGAAAUCAUCUAAAAUGUAUACCAAAAAGGAUCAAUUUUCGUCAAUUUAAGGAAUCAAUGUUAUUUACAGUAAUAUCCUUGAUGCUGUUGAAAAUGCUUUGACAUCCAUGUGCACAACAAAUAUCCUUGAUAUUUAAAAAUAUUGGUAAAAAAAUGUUUCGAAUGAUCGCAAUACUUAUCAUGAAUUAUGCGGCAAUCGUCAAGGUUUGUUGAUUUUGUUCGAUAGGAUACCAGUUUGACGGUUCGAUAAGGUUUUUUUGGCUUCACACUCUUCGCUUCUCUACCUAUUUUCUCUGCACGCUCGUUGAAAACUACUCUAAAGUGAGUCGUUUUCGACUCACUUUGGUACAAAGUGGAACAGCUCAAAAGAGAGUAAAGUCCCGUUACUCACUUUUGAGUAACGGAGGAAUUUUAAAAAUUAGAGUAGCUUCAACUCACUUUCUUUAUUUGGAUAAAAGCAAAAGUGAGUAACUGCUACUCACUUUUGCUCAUUAUUUUUUAGAAAAUAUGCUUAUAAGAAUAACAAUAAAACGAAUUUAAAUACGCAACUAAUCAACUUUAUUAAUUUAAAUUUCGUGGACAUUAAACAUAAACAUUUACAAUAAAUAAAUAUAUAAAAAAAAUCAUGAAUCAGCUUCCUUCGGUCUGUUCCUUGCAAGGUCCAUGAUCUUUCCUUUUUGGAUCGAUCGGCAUCGUUGACGACCCACGGGCGAUCCUUCUGCUCUUUUGAGAGCUAGCAGCGAUGUGAAUGAUAAUCACAUAAUCCUUUCGAACCGAUUUCCUCGUAACGGAUCCAUGGAUGUCUAUCGGCUUCGGGUAUCCUUUUGUGCAAUUCCUGCAAAAUAUUUUCGUGGCCAUUAAUGAGACUAUUCCAUUAUAUUGCAUUUAUUUCUAGUGGGAGACUUACCUUGCUGUUCUAAUAAUAGUUUUCACUAUAAACAAUUACUUAAUCUGAUGUAUAAAAUAAACUAUUUGGCGAAAAAUUGCAACUUUUCUCAUUUGCAUGAGCGGACUUGAAAUUUUUACAAGGUUUUGCCCGUUACGGGAGAGUAGGAUUGUACAGCCAUUACUCAAAAGUGAGUAAACUUAAAUUUUCUUCUGGGAGAGUAGAAAGCUACUCAGUUCAGUAAAAAAAUGUUACUCACUUUUGACAGUUUUCGCAAAAGUAUUGAAGUGAGUCGAAAACGACUCACUUUAGAGUAGUUUUCAACGAGCGUGUGUGACUCUAGUUAGCAGUGGCCCUACCAACGGAAGAGCAGCUUUGCGGAGCUACACUUGAAGAUGGCUGGAGGGACAUCCGAUCCGCCAUAGGUAGUACCUCGGCUACAGCACUAGGCUUCGCGACUCCGAAUCACAGAAACGACUGGUACGACGGCGAAUGUGAACAGUUGAAAAGCGAGAAGAAUGCAGCAUGCACGCAGAACUCGAUGUACACAGCGCAACCAGUAACUUUCACGCAGCGACCGAAAAGACAAAAGAAUUUUCACGCAAAUUUGUGUAACACUGGAUCAGCACAAAUUUGUGUUGAUCUAGUCGUACACAAAUAUGAGUGAAAAAUCCUUUGUCUUUUUGCAAGUUACUCGUGCGCUGUGUACUUUCGUUUUAGGGUGUGGGCAAGAAUGCUGCAACACCGUACGAGAGCGAAUGAGCAGUGAUGGAAUCACUCUCAUCGUGAAGCAAUUCGCGAGUGUAAAGCCAACACAAGGUUUACUCACGAUGCCGAGAGUAAACAGUGUGUGAGUUUAUUCGCACCCGCCUGCUUCGUGAGUAAGAAGCAAAACAAAACGGAAACACUCAAGAGUUUUUAUUCGUGAAGAACUAGUAGAGGUGCGGGAAGUGCAUUUUAUUGUGAUUAUAAUAGCAAAUCCAGUGAUUAUCCAACAUAAACUAAGGCUUUAUGCUUCAUUGUUCCUGAAAAGCAGCACUGCUAGUCGUUAAAAUGCGUUUUUCGUCAAAAUGCAAAAAACUCACGAAGCUUCGCGAAUCACAUGCGAGUGCUUGCCAGCUUCGUUUACUCACGAAUAAAGAAGUGUGAAUAUUCUCGGGCCCCGGUGCUUCACGAGUAUGUUUGUUUUGGUUUGUGUCUGCUCAACUGCAAUCUUGACCAUUUUCCAUCUCUCCGAAUGAGGCACGUUACAGACAGGCGCGGAACAGGCAGAACUCAGUCUUCCGGAUGAAGAAGCGUCAGCAGGAAAAACGAGAUCGCGAAGCGAUGGAAGAGCUGUACCGCGCUAAGGACACACGAAAGUUCUACGAGAAGCUGAACCGCUUGCGCAGAGGCUUCGUGCCACAAGCCGACAUGUGCCGAUAUAAUCACGUGAAUAUUCUCACGAGCGAGCGUGAGGUGGCGGCAGCAUUACGAUGAGCACCUCAAUGGCGACGUUGCAAGUACCGAAGGUGGCGUGGUAACAGAUCUAAGAGUAUGUUUGGUAACAGAUCUAGGAGUAUAUUUGCUGAUUUCCUAUUCAUAUGGGACAGUUAUGCAGUUUAUUUGAUUUUAAUGUUAAAGAUCAGCAAAAGUAUAAUGAUUCAUGCUUAGGCAUAAUCAAUCGUUAAAACAUGUUAAAAAACAAUAAAAGCCAUGAAAUUAUACCCUGUUCAUAUUACCCCCACCACCCCUACGCUGAAGGAAAACACCAUCCUGAAAUCAACUAAGGGUCUGUUCCAAUUGGCGAAUUAAAAUUAAGUUUUACUUAAAUUUGACAGUUCGACACUUUAACUUGACAGUUCUCCUAAGGAAAUAAUUAUCGAACUGUCAAGUUUAAGUAAAAAUUAAUUUUAAUUCUCCAAUUGAAACAGACCCUAAGAAGUGAUACAGUGACACGAACACGCUCCAGUUUGACGCUUUGUAUUAGGAAAACCCCGUACGUAAAAUCAUUUGGUACAACUAUUUCGGAAAGGAAAUUGCUUGGACUACCUUGGGCAUUGAGUAGCUUCGUGCCUGCCACACGAUGUACACAUACAAAAUGGUUAUUGGCAGAUGAAACUAUCAGUUAAUAACUGUGGGAGUGCUCAUAGAAUACUAUGCCGAGAAGGGUGUCAGGCCAUUCGGCCGAAUGGUCAUCAGGCCGAAUGGUCAUUGGGUCUUCUUCUUGCCGUUACGUCCCCACUGAGACAAAGCCUGCUUCUCAGCUUAGUGUUCUAUGAACACUUCCACAGUUAUUAACUGACAGCUUCCUCUGCAAAUGACCAUUUUGCAUGUGUGUAUCGUGUGACAGGCACGAAGAUACUUUAUUGAUGCUGAAUCUACUGAUAUUUUACACAUGAAUUUUUCCUUCCUUUAAAUAUAGCCUGUUCUUUCUAGUAUCAUUGCUAAAAUAGUUUUUGGCGCUGAAACUGCUGAUAUUCAAUUCAUAAAUUUUUCCUUCUUUAAAACAUAGGCUAUUCUUUCUAGUUUCAUUGUUAAGCUAGUUUUUGGCAAAAAUUGUUGGAAAAGGUAAAAACAACGGUUAACUUUCAAUUCGUCCUGAUGGCCAUUCGGCCUAAUGACCAUUCGGCCUAAUGACCUUCGGCCCAAUGACCCAGCAUCGCUGAGAAGCAGGCUUUGUCCCAGUGAUGAUGGUACGCAAAGAAAAGGAGAGAGGAUGUAUCUACAGGAGUGCGGAUAAAACAAGGUAUUUACAUAUUCUAAGGUAGUACAAGAUGUCAAAACUGGCUGAGCGGCCAUUAUUUUUUCACCGUGAGAAAUUCUGAAAACAAAUCCCCCGCCACCUCAAAUUCCUUUGAAAUUUCGCUCCCUCUGCUUUUCUCCACAAACUAAACGUCAUGCUUAACCUUACAAUAUAUAAAAACCUUGGGAUAAAUUACGUGCGAAAGUAAAUAUGUCUAUGGAAGUUGAAGGAUAUAAAAAUGGCGCUAGAAUGUGGCGUUUCAUAAUAAGAUUUGAGUUCGUUCACAAAUUUAAAAAAGUCAAAAUUUGCAAUUUAUGACAUUCGCCCACUUCAUGACACUUUUUGUAUGGGGAGCUUAAUUUUCGGCUUAGGGACAAAACGUCAAAUGCAAGAAAGUCAAAAGGGACAAAAUGUCAAAAAUUAGUAAUGGAGGCAAAUGAGUUGUUUAUCUUUUUAAGCCUGAGGCCUUUGGUUAAAUGGACAUUUGGUUGAAAAGUAAUUUAUUCGAGCAUACGUUGUAUUACCACGGUGUUUCUUCAUAUUAGUAGUUGUUUCCUACACUUCAAAAAAUAUUCACGUCCGAUUCACGUGAAAAAUCACGUACCUAACUCCACAAUUUUAUUGUUUAUAAUCAAUUCACAUGACUCAUGUGAACUUUAAUUAUAAUCAUGUUACUUUGACUUUAGGGUAAAGUUACAUGAUUUUCCGGUCUGAAAAAAAAUAUGAGUGGAAAGAAUCUUCAAAGGGAGUAGACAAUCCCGAGCAGGGAAUAAGAACUAAUUGAAAACAAAUUGAGUUAUUUAGAUAUCACGAAUUUUCUGUAAUUCUCAACGUACCCUCUGGCCCCGAUCUGGCCGAUCUGCGCUUUAACCCCCGCUGAGCGAUACGUCUACCAGACGGAGUAUGACGAUGUUACAAACUCUGGAGGACUUCAUGAAAAGUGAGUUUCUAAUACCGUUGGUCUAGCCUUCUAGAACCUACAGCUACGGUACAAAUGUCCGAUUCUUAUUUUUUCCGUUUUUUUUUUUUCAAUGAAACAAAGGCUCCAUUCGAUGUUUAUAAAGUCAAUGCUACCAGGUUAUAAUAUAAUAUUAUUACGGAAACCCAUUCACCAACUUUUUUGGGACAAUAUUUGCUCAAAAAGUGAUAAUUUUA